rnacentral:rRNA from 1 species
GUGCCAGCAGCCGCGGUAAUACGGAGGGUGCAAGCGUUAUCCGGAUUUACUGGGUUUAAAGGGUGCGUAGGCGUCCCGACAAGUUUUCGGUGAAAUCUCUCCGCUCAACGGAGAAACUGCCGGGAAAACUGUCGGGAUUGAGUUCGGUUGAGGUGGGCGGAAUACAGCAUGUAGCGGUGAAAUGCUUAGAUAUGCUGUAGAACACCAAUUGCGAAGGCAGCUCACUAAACCGACACUGACGCUGAGGCACGAAAGCGUGGGGAUCGAACAGGAUUAGAUACCCCUGUAGUCC